GUGGGGAAUAUUGGACAAUGGGCGCAAGCCUGAUCCAGCAAUGCCGCGUGAGUGAUGAAGGCCUUAGGGUUGUAAAGCUCUUUCACCGGGGAAGAUAAUGACGGUACCCGGAGAAGAAGCCCCGGCUAACUUCGUGCCAGCAGCCGCGGUAAUACGAAGGGUGCAAGCGUUAUCCGGAUUCAUUGGGUUUAAAGGGUGCGUAGGCGGACCGUUAAGUCAGUGGUGAAAUCCUGGAGCUUAACUGUAGACUUGCGAUUGAUACUGGCGCUCUUGAGUGCGCUUGAAGUGGGCGGAAUGUGCCGUGUAGCGGUGGAAUGCUUAGAUAUGGCACAGAACACCAAGUGCGAAGGCAGCUCACUAAGGCGAUACUGACGCUGAGGCACGAAAGCGUGGGGAUCGAACAGGAUUAGAUACCCCGGUAGUCC
rnacentral:rRNA from 1 species